rnacentral:rRNA from 3 species
GGAAGUAAAAGUCGUAACAAGGUCUCCGUAGGUGAACCUGCGGAGGGAUCAUUACACAAUAAAAUACGAAGGCCGUUCGCGGCUGGACUAUUUAUUACCCUUGUCUUUUGCGCACUUGUUGUUUCCUGGGCGGGUUCGCUCGCCACCAGGACCACAAUAUAAACCUUUUUUAUGCAGUUGCAAUCAGCGUCAGUAUAACAAAUGUAAAUCAUUUACAACUUUCAACAACGGAUCUCUUGGUUCUGGCAUCGAUGAAGAACGCAGCGAAAUGCGAUACGUAGUGUGAAUUGCAGAAUUCAGUGAAUCAUCGAAUCUUUGAACGCACAUUGCGCCCUUUGGUAUUCCAAAGGGCAUGCCUGUUCGAGCGUCAUUUGUACCCUCAAGCUUUGCUUGGUGUUGGGCGUUUUUGUCUUUGGCCCGCCAAAGACUCGCCUUAAAAUGAUUGGCAGCCGGCCUACUGGUUUCGCAGCGCAGCACAUUUUUGCGCUUGCAAUCAGCAAAAGAGGACGGCAAUCCAUCAAGACUCCUUCUCACGUUUGACCUCGGAUCAGGUAGGGAUACCCGCUGAACUUAAGCAUAUCAAUAAGCGGAGGA